GCCUGGGUGGCUCAGUCGGUUGGGCAUCUGACUUCAGCUCAGGUCAUGAUCUCACAGUUUGUGAGUUCGAGUCCCACAUCGGGCU
rnacentral:tRNA from 1 species